UACGUAGGGUGCAAGCGUUAAUCGGAAUUACUGGGCGUAAAGCGUGCGAAGGCGGUUUUGUAAGUCUGUCGUGAAAUCCCCGGGCUUAACCUGGGAAUGGCGAUGGAGACUGCAAGGCUAGAGUUUGGCAGAGGGGGGUAGAAUUCCACGUGUAGCAGUGAAAUGCGUAGAGAUGUGGAGGAACACCGAUGGCGAAGGCAGCCCCCUGGGUCAAGAUUGACGCUCAUGCACGAAAGCGUGGGGAGCAAACAGG
rnacentral:rRNA from 1 species